UUUUCUGUUUGUUUGUUUAUCUCAUCCAUUGUCUUGUCAACAUCAUCAAUGUUCCUAUAUGUAAGCCUUGUCAAAGUUGAGUUGCUAAAGAAUAUACGUAUUGUGAAGAAUACUAAGAUAUCAAUAGUACGCAAUUUAUCUAUACCGGAUUGUUGAAGAGCAAAAUGAUGCCACCCUAGCUGGAUUUUUGGAACCCCCGAAAUAGAGGAGCAGAGAAAUAUUGCAGAGACAACAGAUGCAGUCGCCGGCCAAGAGGGAAGAAAGAAGAAGAUAUGAUUUGAGCAGCUUGUGUGAAUUGUGAUGACUUGGGCUAUUGGGCCUUUUUUUUUUAAAAAAACAAAUAGAGUGGCCCAAAUCAAUGAAAUCGUCCAUUAAUGAUUAGGGAAAAUUAGGUGUAGUACCCUAAAAAAUUUAAAUAUUUGAUUAAUACCUUAAAACUAAUUUAAAACUAUUAUUACCGUAUUAAUUACGUUCAAGACUCACGAAAAAAACACCCAAAUCUGAAACCCCUGCAAUAAAAAAAAACCUUGAGAAACAAGCCUCUAUUGCAGACAUUUUUGUUGAAAUUUAUCACCAAAGGCGCGGUGGAAAGCAACAACACCACCAACAGUAGCCACGGGUAUUGAUUUGGUCGCCAGAGGUAAGAGCAAGAAAACCAAGCGCACUGCUCCUAAAUCCAAUGAUAUUUACCUCCAGCUUCUAGUCAGUCUGUGUUGAUUCCUCGGAGGAGAAUUGGAAGUGAGUUCAAUGCAGUUAU
rnacentral:lncRNA from 1 species